rnacentral:pre_miRNA from 1 species
UACAGCUAGUGAGAAUGGGAGUGAGAGUUAGUUGCACCUUUUUCGUACAAGGUGCAACUAACUCUCACUCCCACUCUCACUAGCUGUAA